UCCCAUAUGGUCUAGCGGUCAGGAUUCCUGGUUUUUGCCCAGGGGGCCUGGGUUCAACUCCCGGUAUGGGAA